rnacentral:tRNA from 1 species
UGCCGGCGGUGGGACACGUCGGUCCGAUGCUGGUCGUCGCGGAAGAGCUGCUGCGGCGAGGCUGGCGGGUCCGGUUCCUCACCGGGCGCCGCUAUC